CCAAUUGUCAAUCCUUAUUUGUUAAGGGGUUUUGAAAUUUCUCAAAAUCCCACAUCGAAAAUCUUUCAGAUUUCAGAGAUUUUAGGCCCUAUAAAUAAGCCUUCUUCUCACUGUUCAGAGGAGAGGAUUUUCGGAGAUCAAAGAGUACCCAAAAUUUUUUGAGAAUUCUUAGUUUCAUAGUUCAAAAUUUUAAAACGUGUUGUGAUUUUUCGAGUUGAAGAAAAUUUUAAAACGUUUUGUGGUUUUUCGAGUUGAAGAGGUGGAAUCGUCUCUGUUCCGUCAAACUCGUAGUUUCGAUUCACUGCCUAGAAUCACGAAACUUGUAGACGCAUAACUCACGGAUGAAUCUGAGAGGAGAGAGCUAUAUUUGAGAGGGAAAAAGGAUGUACCCGAGAGGAGAGAGAUGUAUCCAAGAGACGAUAGAGAUGCAUUCAGGAGGGGAUGAAGAUGUAUUCAAGAGAGGAUAUGUAUGUAUUCGAGAGGAGAUAGUGAUGUAUCUGACAGAGGAGAGAGAUUUAUCUGAUAGGAAAUUUUUAUAAUUUUUCUAAAUGCUAGAACUGGGAAUUUCCAGACUUAAAAAGUUCAAAUCCGGGCAGCAGCGGCAGCAAUUGGGCUUAAUGUUGAAGUUUCAUUAACAUUUUUUUCUCAUUAUAUAUUGUGAUUUUGUGAUAUUUGCUUCUAA